rnacentral:rRNA from 1 species
UACGUAGGGUGCAAGCGUUGUCCGGAAUUGAUUGGCGUAAAGAGCUCGUAGGCGGUCUGUCGCGUCGGCUGUGAAAAACUCGGGGGCUCAACCCCCGAGCCUGCAGUCGAUACGGGGAGACUAGAGUGCUGUAGGGGGAGACUGGAAUUCCCUGGUGUACGGUGAAAUGCGCAGAAUAUCAGGAGGAACACCGGUGGCAAGGC